rnacentral:rRNA from 1 species
AGAGUUUGAUCCUGGCUCAGAACGAACGCUGGCGGCGCGUCUUAAGCAUGCAAGUCGAACGGCAAGAGAGGAGCUUGCUCCUCUCCUAGAGUGGCGGACUGGUGAGUAACACGUGGGUGACGUACCCAAGUGACUGGGACAGCCUUUAGAAAUAAGGGGUAAUACCGGAUACGCUCACAGGAGAUAGACUCUUGUGAGGAAAGGAGCUUUGGCUCUGCACAUGGAUCGGCCCGCGUCCCAUUAGCUAGUUGGAGUGGUAACGGCAUACCAAGGCUAUGAUGGGUAUCCGGCCAGAGAGGGUGAACGGACACAUUGGGACUGAGAUACGGCCCAGACUCCUGCGGGAGGCAGCAGCUAAGAAUAUUCCGCAAUGGACGAAAGUCUGACGGAGCGACGCCGCGUGGAUGAAGAAGGCCGGAAGGUUGUAAGGUUCUUUUAAUUGGGAAGAAUAAGUUAUGCAGGGAAUGGCAUGAUGGUGACGGUACCAAUUGAAUAAGGGGCGGCUAAUUACGUGCCAGCAGCCGCGGUAACACGUAAGCCUCUAGCGUUGUUCGGAAUUAUUGGGCGUAAAGGGUAUGUAGGCGGCGCUGAAAGCUUGGUGUGAAAGGCAGAGGCUUAACCUCUGAAUUGCAUUGAGAACUGCGGUGCUAGAAUUACUGAAGGGCAGCCAGAAUUCCAGGUGUAGGGGUGAAAUCUGUAGAUAUCUGGAAGAAUACCAAUGGCGAAGGCAGGCUGCCGGCAGAUGAUUGACGCUGAGGUACGAAAGUGCGGGGAGCAAACAGGAUUAGAUACCCUGGUAGUCCGCACAGUAAACGAUGUGCACUAGGUGUAGGGGCUGAAGCUUCUGUGCCAAAGCAAACGUGAUAAGUGCACCGCCUGGGGAGUAUGCCCGCAAGGGUGAAACUUAAAUGAAUUGACGG